rnacentral:lncRNA from 1 species
UCAUGUGACCCACCCACCUCAGCCUCCCAAAGUGUUGGGAUUACAGGCAUGAGUCACCACGCCUGGCCUCCAAUGGACUAGUUUUGAAGGAAUCUCAGGAUUUGCAACCUGCUGGAAGGAAUUACUGGUGUCAUUAGAGGCCUCCCUGAAACCCCACGCAAUGACAGCAUGGCACACGCUGACCCCGGCUGAGCUCACAAUGGCAGUUGUUUUGGCUUGGCUUCUGUUUAGAUGGGAAGCAGCUCCCCAUGUCCCUUGGCUGAAGGUUUCUCCUAGAAGUUGACCAGGACCCCUGCAGGGGAUGAACAAAAGCUGACACCUCAUCACCCCAAUUCACACACAGUUAAGCCCCACUGAUCCUGGGAUACAAGUAGAUAAAGGGGGGAAAGGACUACUUUGUUUAACUUCCCAGUAUCCUCUGAUUGACUUAAUGAAAAAAUCCUGAUGUUAAGCUCCCAGAAAAGGGUUUUCAGUGCUGAACUUGAGCUGGGCAUACCACCUACAUCCUGUGUUCUGUGUUCACAAACACAGAACACAUUCGUGUCUCAUCUGUGCCUCAUUUGUCUUUCCCUGCCCUUACUUCCACGUGAGAGCAGCCACUUGUGAUCCUGUCCAUUUAAAACAAUAUGAUCACAGGCCUGGGGCUCCAGAUGCCGGACACAGAAAAGAAAAAGACGUGAUAAAUAACAUUUAAAGCACUGCAAAGUUUGAUUUUCAUGUCUAAUAUCUGCCCCUGGAGAUUCUGCUAAAUUUCUUUUUUCCCUCUUCAUAAAUUCUUAUGAUAACAACUUUAUUUGGGAAUUAAUCCAGAUUCCCAUUAUUCACUGAAUUACACUUUCCCAGCAUGUAAGUUCCUCCCUCGUUGUAAGUUACAAAGCCUUGGAAGCUACAUUAACUCUUUCUGGCUGCUGGGAUGACAGGUAUUGCUAGUCCUCAUGUUUCAGAAUUGUAUCUGAAAAGCAUUAAUGUAGUUUUAAAGGGUUUCCAAAUUAAAACCAGGAUGAAAAUUGACCACUGGGAGAAUCCUAUUUAUACUAUUAUAUUAUGGGGUGCUUUAAAUACACUUCCCUCCAGCCUACUGCCAUUGGCUCUAAUAUAUAGAACGGGCAUGUAUACAGAACGGGCAUCCCUCUUGCAGUAGCAUUGUGGAAGAAUUAAGCACCCACACUCUGAGGUCAAACUGUCCUGGUUGAAAUCUUGACUCCAUCUCUCACUAGCUGUGUGACCUCAGGUAAGUUACCUAACCCCUCUGAGCCUUGGUUUCCUCAUUUGUAAAGUGGAGAAAACAGCACUCACUUGAUGGGGCUGCCAUAAGGAUGAAGUAAUAUGGUGCAAGAGGAGCUGAGACUGCUGCUUGGCAAACAGUGGACAUUUGCUGAGAGCUUGCUGUGCACCAGGCACUGUUCUAACUACUUUACAUGUAUUAAUUCAUUGAACUCGCUCAACAACUUGGAGGUUGGACAUCAUUAUCCCUACUGCAGGCAGUGACCACUCUACAAAUGUUGGUUGCCAUCCGCUGAUCUUGACGCCUACGACGGAUUCGCCUGGUAACUCCAUCCACACUUAAGUUGGGAAAGCACUCCGCCCUGCCUCUAAGUCCGGGGACUCUGGGCAGGGUCCAUUACAUGACCUGGGUCUAAGCCAAUCAGAGCAUCUCACUACCGUCUCCACAGUGAUUGGUCCACGUGGGCACAUGACACUGCCGGGGCUGGGACUCCCCAAAAAGAGAGUCUCCCUUCUUCCUGCUGGACUAGCCUGAGACGAUGCGAGGCUAUCGCUGCCGCAGUACCGGGCGGAGGGCCUGUCUGAGAGGGAGCCAACCUCGAGGAAACUGGGUCAACAAUGGACAACGAGACACCAGCUGUGUGACUUCACGUGAGCCCACGCAGGAAGCCUGCCUGCAGCCGGGACCCUAUCUUGGCCCAUAGCAUCGGGGCUUCUCAGGGAAGCACUGGGGUGUAAGCUUCAGCCCCAAAAUGCAUCCCCACCCUUGUCCCCCUCCAGGCAGAGCAGAGACCACUGGGGCCUGCUUGCUGCUCGGUGGAGCCGAUGUCUUCAAGGCCGGGCUAAUGUCUCACCGGCCUCUCGGUUCCUUCCAGCUCCACUGACAGAAAGAAAGCAGAUUAGAUUACCGGGCGAGGGUACGACGUUUUACUAUCCACCCAAAUUAUGUUCACCAAUGAUUGAACUCUUCAAAGAAUUCAAAUCAUGUGGAUUUGAGCCUUCUGGGAAGGAAAACGAAAUGCACCUUGACUUCACAGGCUGGAGGGCUGGGUGUGACAGGGCCCUCCAGAGAGCCUCGGGACAGAACCUCAGCAGAUGGUGGCAGCUGAAGACACAGGAAUCUCAUCAAAUAACCAGGAAAGAUUAACUACUGGAGAAGAGAAAAGACUGGGAAUCAUCACCAUGCCAGACAGACUUUUCACCUAUUCGUCUGAGGACAGCUCCAAGAGAUGACCUGGGAGACUUUACCUGCAUAAGAAGACAACCUUUGUUCACAGCGUAGUUCUGCCCCUCACCCUCCUGCCACCUGCCCCAGAACUCAGAGGAACUUUGUCCCAGGCUAUUAUCUAUUCUUUGGGCUCACUCAUUUUCCUUAGAAAUCAUUUACUACCCCUCUAAAAUUUCCUACAGUCCCCCACUUCCCUGUCUCCUAUGAAGAGGAUAUAUAAGCCUCAACCAUCUGGCCCUUCUUUGAGUCUCCUAUUUGUAGGACUCCCAUGGCCAUAUGCACCUUAAUAAAUGUGUAAGCCAU